rnacentral:lncRNA from 1 species
CUAGCCAAUCCAUUCCUAAGAUUACAUCAAAAUCCCCCAUGUCUAACCCUAUCAGGUCUAUACUCAGUUUCCUAUUUGCUAUCUCCACGGCACAAGUCCUAUAGAUAGCUUCCCCUAGUAGUGUUUCACCCCCGACAGUAGACACAAACAACAAUGAAUCAAGUUUAUCAGGUGAUACAUUAAUUUUGGAAGCAAAAGCAUGUGAAACAAAAGAGUGCGAUGCACCAGUGUCAAAUAAAACAUGAGCAAGAUGGUCACAGAUAGUAUACAUACCCUGUACUAGAUCCAGGUCGGCGUCGGCAUCCUGCU